ACUGGAGAAUAAUGAGGUGGAACCAGGAGUGUAGGCACCUGCUGAUCGAGGACUUGGAGGCCAGGAUCGCCCUCAUGCCACUCCUCCAGGCAGAGAAGACCGCAGGACCCUGCAGAUUCUUCGGGAGAAUCUGGAGGAGGAGGCCAUCAUCAUGAAAGAUGUGCCCAACUGGAAGGUGGGGGAGUCUAUGUUCCAUACCACACGAUGGGUGCCACCCCUCAUCGGCGAGCUUUAUGGGUUACGCACCAAGGAGGAGAUGGAGAACACGAACACCAACUUCGGCUUCACCGGGUACACUUAGGGCCUGAGCCGACGUGCAUAAUAAAGAAUAGUCAAAU
rnacentral:lncRNA from 1 species